CAAUUCACUGAGUAGAGAGGAAAUUUUUGUGCAUACCAUGUGAUGAUUGGUUUACGUUUUUGUUUUUUUUUUUCUCCGAAAUAAUGCAGUAGGAAAACGAUUUCCAUCAUGCUUGCUCUCACUGGUUAGAACACAGCAUGUAAUGUCAUGAAUUUAUUUUCAAUCAGCUGUGGAGUUCAUGAGAUUUAAAGUGCUGUACCAUAUAGUACAUGUAUAUGUGUUUGUGAGCACCUCAGCAUUCUCCCCUGUUGAUGUUGAUUUUAAUGAGUCGUUUUUGACAACACUGGAGAAUAAUAGACAGAGAUGAUGGUACAUGUAAAAUCUGAGUAAGUUUUAGUUAUGCCCGGCAUUCCAGUAGUUCUGAACAACAGACAUUGCGAGAUUUGCUCACACACCUUCUUUGGCUUAAGAUUCCUCUUGCAUUACUCUGAUCAGAUGUAGUGUAACAUAAAUGUACAGUGUUCUUCUAAAGUUACGUAGGACUUAACUAAAUCCUGAAUGAACAUGUUUUUUCUCUGCUAUACAGCGACUUCAAAAAAGAACAAUAACUCCACCAAGAACAUUCUUCAGUCUACUCUUUGGAAAAGGUGGCAUUUCCUUGCAUAAGGCUAAAAACAUCCGACAGACAGAACUGGUGGCCGAUUUAAGGGAAGCAAUUCUUCAAAUAGCCCGACAUUUUGACGCUGUGGAUCCUAAGAAGGGUCUGGAAGUUGACUAUUCAAUGGAAAGUCAUGCAAGAGACCAUGAAAGGUUUAUCAACGUAGCCAGGAAUCGUCGGAGAC